rnacentral:rRNA from 1 species
GACGAACGCUGGCGGCGUGCUUAACACAUGCAAGUCGAACGGAAAGGCCCUGCUUUUGUGGGGUUCUCGAGUGGCGAACGGGUGAGUAACACGUGAGUAACCUGCCCUUGACUUUGGGAUAACUUCAGGAAACUGGGGCUAAUACCGGAUAGGAGCUCCUGCUGCAUGGUGGGGGUUGGAAAGUUUCGGCGGUUGGGGAUGGACUCGCGGCUUAUCAGCUUGUUGGUGGGGUAGUGGCUUACCAAGGCUUUGACGGGUAGCCGGCCUGAGAGGGUGACCGGCCACAUGGGGACUAAGAUACGGCCCAGACUCCUACGGGAGGCAGCAGUGGGGAAUAUGGCACAAUGGGCGGAAGCCGGAUGCAGCAACGCCGGGUGCGGGAUGACGGCCUUCGGGUUGUAAACCGCUUUCGCCUGUGACGAAGCGUGAGUGACGGUAAUGGGUAAAGAAGCACCGGCUAACUACGUG